CGGGUGAGUAAUACAUAAGUAACCUGCCCUAAGACAGGGGGAUAACUAUUGGGAAACGAUAGCUAAGACGCAUAGGUACGGACACUGCAUGGUGACCGGUAUUAAAAGUGCCUCAAAGCACUGGUAGAGGAUGGACUUAUGGCGCAUUAGCUGGUUGGCGGGGUAACGGCCCACCAAGGCGACCGAUGCGUAGCCGACCUGAGAGGGUGACCGGCCACACUGGGACUGAGACACGGCCCAGACUCCUACGGGAGGCAGCAUG
rnacentral:rRNA from 1 species